rnacentral:miRNA from 1 species
GUGCAAGGCUUUCCUCUCUCUCUCUCUCUCUCUCUCUCUCUCUCUCUCUCUCUCUCUCUCUCUCUCUCUCUCUCUCUCUCAAGGGAACUCUCCCAAGCUAAUUAAUUUUAAGUGCAUUAUUAGAUGCAAAUAUAUAUAUAUAUAUAUAUAUAUAUAGAGAGAGAGAGAGAGAGAGAGAGAGAGAGAGAGAGAGAGGGAGAGGAAAG